rnacentral:rRNA from 1 species
GAUGAACGCUGGCGGCGUGCUUAACACAUGCAAGUCGAACGGACGGACGAUAAGCUUGCUGGUCGGUUGUGAGCGGCGGACGGGUGAGUAACACGUGGAGAAUCUCCCUAUCAUUCUGGUAUAAUUACGGGAAACCGGAGCUAAUACCAGAGAAUAUUUUGAACCGCAUGGUUCAUAGGUGAGAGACGGUCUUGGUGUCAGUGAUAGAUGGAUCCGCGCUGCAUUAGCUAGUUGGUAAGGUAACGGCUUACCAAGGCAACGAUGCAUAGCCGACCUGAGAGGGUGAUCGGCGACACUAGAGGUGAGACACGGUCCAGACUACUACGGGAGGCAGCAGUAGGGAAUCUUACGCAACAGUGGGGAGCAUGACGGAGCAACGCCGCGUCAGUGGUGACGGUCCUCGGAUCGUAAAGAUCUGCUAUUGGGGAUGAACAGAUGUGUACGGAGAUGUGGACAGAUUGACGGUAACUAAUUAGGAAGCACCGGCUAACUACGUG